rnacentral:rRNA from 1 species
UGAGUACGAGACGCUAAGGCGUCGAAGUAGUGUAUGUCAUACUUCCAAGAAAAGCUUGCACUGUCAUUCAUAAAAAAUGCCUGUACCACAACCGACACAGGUGGGUAGGUAGAGUAUACUAAGGGGCGCGAGAUAACUCUCUCUAAGGAACUCGGCAAAAUAACUCCGUAACUUCGGGAGAAGGAGUGCCUUAUUUAUAUAAGGUUGCAAUAACAAGAUCCAAGCAACUGUUUACCAAAAACACAGGUCUCCGCUAAGUCGUAAGACGAUGUAUGGGGGCUGACGCCUGCCCAGUGCCAGAAGGUUAAAGAAGUUGGUUAGCAAUAGCGAAGCUGAUAACUGAAGCCCUGGUGAACGGCGGCCGUAACAAUAACGGUCCUAAGGUAGCGAAAUUCCUUGUCGGGUAAGUUCCGACCCGCACGAAAGGCGUAAUGAUUUGGAUACUGUCUCGGAGAGGGACUCGGUGAAAUAGACUUGUCUGUGAAGAUGCGGACUACCUGCACCUGGACAGAAAGACCCUAUGAAGCUUUACUGUAACUUGAAAUUGAAAUUGGACUUUAUUCGCGCAGUAUAGGUGGGAGGCGUUGAAAAUAAUCUUGCGGGACUAUUGGAGCCAUCAGUGAGAUACCACUCUUAUAAUGUUAGAUUUCUAACUUUGAAUCAUUAUCUGGUCAAAGAACAGUUUCAGGCGGGCAGUUUGACUGGGGCGGUCGCCUCCCAAACGGUAACGGAGGCGUACAAAGGUUUCCUCUGAACGGGUAGAAAUCGUAUCUAGAGUAUAAAGGCAAAAGGAAGCUUGACUGUGAGACCUACAAGUCGAGCAGGGACGAAAGUCGGUCUUAGUGAUCUGACGGUACUGAGUGGAAAGGCCGUCACUCAACGGAUAAAAGUUACUCUAGGAUAACAGGCUGAUCUCCCCCAAGAGUUCACAUCGACGGGGAGGUUUGGCACCUCGAUGUCGGCUCAUCGCAUCCUGGGGCGGUAGUACGUCCCAAGGGUUGGGCUGUUCGCCCAUGAAAGCGGUACGCGAGCUGGGUUCAGAACGUCGUGAGACAGUUCGGUCCAUAUCCGGUGUAGGCGUUAGAAUAUUGAGAGGAGCCUUCUUUAGUACGAGAGGACCGAGAAGGACAUACCUCUGGUGUACCAGUUAUCGUGCCAACGGUAAACGCUGGGUAGCUAUGUAUGGAGUGGAUAACCGCUGAAAGCAUCUAAGUGGGAAGCCCACCUCAAGAUGAGUAUUCC